CACAGCGAGCGAACCCCUUUCUGGCAGCGAGAGCGGACAGAGGUAGCUGCAGAAAUAUCUCCCUCGUCACCCCCUUUCUCUUCCUCGUCUCUUCCCAUCCCGCUCCUCUCCUCCAUGCCGCCGCCGCUGCUUCCCCCCUCCCUCUCGGCCGCCUGUCUCCCCCGCCGGCUGGCGCAGCUCCUCGCGUCGCCUUCCUCUCCUCUUCAUGCGCGGCGGCGUCUCGUCAUCAACAGCCACCGCCCAUCCCCAGCCCCCACCCUAGCCUCCCCAAUCCCCUCCUCCCGCAUGAACCCUAGCAGAGAGAGAAGAUGAGAGGGAGAGAGAGAAGGAAGGAGAGGGGAGGAGGGAGAAAGAGAGAGGAAAGAGGGGAGGGAGGUGUGGCGGCCAGUGUCGGCCUGCGCCGGCGAGGUCGGGCGCGACCUGGCGGUUGGCGGCGGCUCGAUCCGUUCCUGGAUCUGCGAGGAGGCUGGGGCUCGGGCGCGAUGCACGGGAGGCUGCACCCCGCCUCCAUCUCCACGCGUGCAGCGGCGACCCCGGGAGGAGCUCGAGCCGCAACGGUGGUCCACGGCGCCGGCGUCGGCAGGAGGAGCGUGGGCCGUAGAGACGGCCGGCUCCGUCCGGCUUUCGCGCUGCCGUCCAUCCACCCGAGCGAUCAGUCCGCGCGUCCUCACCUCCGUCCUCUCACGCACGCCCUCGUGUCUGGAUAUUUGGUAAUUUCUUUUCUGAGCAUAAAUAGAUAUUGUGCCCCCACCUGUUUGUUGUUUUGCCCAGCUGAAAGGUGGAUCAAAUAUGAAAGACGUGAGCGUUCAAUAGUGUGAAAAGCAAGCCCUGGUCUUGUUGAAGUUCCAUUGAAUUUCUGUGAUACUAAUGCUCAUAUUUUGCAAUUUGCUCUCCACAGCUUUCAGUCACGGAUUCUUGAGGAAAACAUGAAAACAGGUAAUAUAUAUGAUUAGUGUUUGGGUGACCGUUGAUUCCUACACCGAGUUGUGUUGCUGUACAAAUAGCCUCUCUUUUUGGUGGUGACACGGUGUCCCUUCCAGGUUCAGCAGCAGGCAAUGCUCAAGACAGAGUUGGGUGCACAUCAUAUAUAUACAUAUGUUGUCGCAUCUUAAUAAACAGAGAUGAGCAGAAGCAGAGAUGAGAUAUCUAUCCGACUGUCAUCCUUCCCAGACUUGGGUCUGUCAUCUCUGUCAGCAUCCGCUUCCGCUUCCUUAGUUGGUUGUCGCUUCUUUGUAACACCAUUUGAAUAAAUAAUAAAUAAGCCUGAGUUUGGAUUAAUCUUGCGUAGCCCAUUGGAUUGAUUGGAUAUCAGAAGAUACGUGUAUACUUAGCCAAGACAUUAUAUGCUGACUGAGUUCCCUAAGCAGGGAUUUUCAGUCACACUUUCUAUAGCCACGUUCAUGAGUUGAUUCAGUAUAGCUCAUGAGUUGAUUCAGUAUUAUUAUUGCUUUGCAAUACAGUUGAUUCAGUACUAAUGUAUAUACUGUAUACGAAUGCACAUCCCAUAAUUGUUGUGGUAGACUGUCGUCUGCAGUCCAUUUAUAUGGUCUUUCUCCAGAAACUAUAGGUGUGUUCUCUAUACUAUUCCAGUGUACUAAAUCUGAACAUAUAUCCUUCAAAUAAUCUACUAUUUCAUUAGGCACAAAUUGGUACAGAUAAACCACACAUCUCUGCAGACAAACCUUUGUUUUCCAUAUAUCCCAUUAAGAAAAUAAAUGUCACUUCAGAUGUAGUGAAAAGAAGUUUAGUUGCCGCCUCAGCUCCUUACUGGCGACUGGUGUGAAUCAUCUCAGUUUUUUAAUGUCACUGUUUAUCUUAUUUAGUCUUGAGAAUUGUUGUGUGUGUUCUUCUCUAGGUUGUGCAAGCCAAGUGGUUGAUGCAUUGCUUCUUUGUACAGUUUUUGUGGAUGUUUUGGUCUGUCUAUACCAUAUUAAGCAAAUAUGAGUACUUUUAGCUGUAGUGGAAAACAAGAAUUUAACAGAGUUUUUGCCAAAUUGACAUUUCUCUGCUGAAAUUAUUCCUGAAUGUAAUGAUAGAAGUUUUUUCCCCCAUUUCUAUAUUGUCUCGAAUGUUUGGAAAAUUGUAUCACUGCAAUGCCUUCUUCGUAUAUGUGGAAUUGGAGAAAAAUGCAUACAUGUUAUUGAUGCCUUAGCAAGAAGGCUCGCCGGCUGGGAGAUGGCGAGCGCCAGUGAGCACUAUGCACGGUGUAGCAAGCUGGACAAGAGCGUGAGCGACAGUCAAGACAUGAGCUAUCCAGUGUAGGUUCAGACAAUUCAUUCAUUCAUUGCAGGUUCGGCAUGUCUCAUUAUGUCUUUUUGCUUCAUAUUCAGGGUCAAACUGGGCUAUAUUUCUUUCAUUGGGGCGAGGGUGAUUCCAGCAGGUGAGGUGCAUUUUAGACAUCCGGAUGAUGUCUUGCUAUGUCCAGGUGGUACCAUGUCUGAAUUAAGAUUUCCCUUGCAGAUUUUGCUUGGCGUACUCGCCUUUUUUCUUGAAGUUGGGCGUCGGUCGUCUCUGCGGCAAGGUAAGCUUAUCCCAUUUACUUUAUUCAACCCAGAGUCAAGAUUCAUAUCCCAUUCACUGUCAUUUCAUUUGUGAGCAUUUAUUCCAUUGAUCUAUGUCGUCGGCACCCUGACGAUUUAGCCUUUUCUGCUGAUCACAAUUGCUUGCAUCUGCCAUCUCAUUGAGGAAAUGCCCCUGCUCCUCUUAAUUAAAAUUAAUGUGAAAUAUGUUUCUACCAAAAUUAAUGUGAAGCACUAUUGAGACAACGAAUUUCAACUAUGUUAUGAGCCAAACCAUAUUAAGUAUGUGCAUCCUCGCUGGAAUGCUUUCUGUUCAUGAGCUGGUCUCCCAACACGUAUUGUCGAGAAAAGAAAAGAAAGGACCUUUUAAGUUCUUAAUAGGAGCAAGAGAGCUUCUAAGUACUAUCCAUACCUAUGCUUUAUGUAGUCAAUUAAUAAACUCUCUUUAAAUAUGAUGUUCCCAAGAGAUCAGAAGGUUCAUGGGGUGAUCUUGUAGCUGAGUUGAAAGUCAGAGGGUUUGUGCUAUGGGUGAUAAGGAAUGGUCAUAACCUUAUUUGUUAGAAUAUUGCCGAAGAUGAUCCAAGCUAAUUAUUUUAGGCACUUGAUCUGUUAUAUUGUCAUAAACUGAAUUUGUACUACGCGAACAUGUGGAUCUUUUAGCAGUUAGCCAUGUCAAAAACAGGAUAUAUGUCUAACAUCUAAUUUGAGAUGAAGUUGUCCUGCUCAAUUAAUUUAUAGUUUUCUGGAUGUUCUGGUGUUCAGCUUGGGAGCAAGUAGAAAUACCUGAUUUGAUGCUCAUGCUUCCAAAUUUUUCACAUUUCGCGAGAGCUAGGCGUACUUCUCGAUGACCUUGCCGUCUCCAACCCAUCCGUGGGUAUUUCAACUCCCCUUUUGUUUUUUUUCUGCGCACAUUUGCUCUACUGUCAUUUUGCCUGGUAUGCUCUCAUUUUCUUAGAUUUAGAUUUUCUUGUUCUAUCUCCUCCCAUUUUCUAUUUGUUUUCUUUUCUCUGUUUUUAAUUUGUUUUUUUACAUCCUAUUUUAUUUAUUCUUUUUGGCUACGACAUAAUGAAUGGAUUAUUGCUUUAUUUGGCCUUUAUUAUAUUGUUUCCCAUCUACUAUAUGGUUCACUUUGCUAGCUAUAAAAAAAGCAUUAUGGGUUACUGCCUGGUGGACCUCUGAAUAUUUUUUCACCUCAGCUUGAUUGACAAGCUCACCGGCAGCUUGAUUGACAAGCUCACCGGCAGGAAAUGUAGUAUGAGAUGAUUUUUUUUAAUUUCUCUAGCUUUUCUUAUUGGUAUGUACAGAAAGGACAAAGUCGUAUACUUAAUAUCGAGUCUUAUUCAUCUGCAUUUAUGGAAUACCAUUGAAAAUCUUGAAUUACUUUUGCUUUGAUGGGUAAUCUAUCACUAAACAGAAUAUAGCUUCCAGCCUUCACACAUAGAGACUAAUUUAGUACUUCGGUUUUGGGCUGUCCUAUUUUCUGUGUGGUCGAACAGGAAAGCUAAAUGUACAGUUUAUUUGCUCGGCACCAUUUAUUGUGCCACAUAGAAGUACAUCUUUUUCUUAUUUUUUCUAAUGCAAUCAUCAAUACAGUACCUUAGUUAACCUUCCC